CUAAGCCUACGGGAGGCAGCAGUGAGGAAUAUUGGUCAAUGGGCGGGAGCCUGAACCAGCCACGUCGCGUGAGGGAAGACGGUCCUACGGAUUGUAAACCUCUUUUGCCGGGGAGCAACGGGGUCCUUGCGAGGGCCCAAUGAGAGUACCCGGAGAAAAAGCAUCGGCUAACUCCGUGCCAGCAGCCGCGGUAAUACGGAGGAUGCGAGCGUUAUCCGGAUUUAUUGGGUUUAAAGGGUGCGUAGGCGGGCUGUUAAGUCAGCGGCCAAAUGUCGGGGCUCAACCCCUGCCUGCCGUUGAAACUG
rnacentral:rRNA from 1 species